GACGUAGGGUCCAAGCAUUAUCCGGAUUUACUGGGCGUAAAGAGUGCGUAGGUGCUCGUCUUAAUUUCGUCUGAAAGGCUAUGGCUCAACCAUAGAAUUGGACGAAAAAUUGGACGAGUUGAGGCCGGAAGGGGCAGGUGGAAUUCUCGGUGUAGGGGUGAAAUCCGUUGAUAUCGAGAAGAACGCCAAUGGCGAAGGCAGCCUGCUGGUCCGGUUCUGACACUGAGGCACGAAAGCGUGGGGAGCGAACGGG
rnacentral:rRNA from 1 species